CGACGGCACCUGAGAGGGACAUUUGUCAUUCGUUUGCGAAAUGCGUUAUUCAUAUUUAUUUUUGCAGCCUUUCUGUUGGGGAUCAUACACCAUUUACCGAUCCUCCUCAUCUUCAUCGUCCCGGGUACCAGAGUUACGGGUGUCUCCAGACCCGGUAUUGCUGCCCUGCUUCCCCCCGUGGGGACAGUCGGAGUCACCUUGGCCCUUGAUUGCCUGCUCCUUGGCCUUGCGGCUCCGUUUCCACUUCAUCCGCCUGUUCUGGAACCAGAUCUUCACCUGAACGGAACCGGGAGCACAACGUCAGAACUGAAACACGACAGUUACACGAGGAUAAACAUGUCAGUCAAAACAACCUGCGGCUCAUUUCAGUGGGUCUAAAGUUUUACGGCACGAGUAGACAUUUAUCCAACUGUCAUCUCUAUGGGACUGCAGAUGGAUAUGAGCUAUGCAGCUAAAUCUGGAGCAAUAUUUAUUGUGCAUGGUCCCUGACACAUAAGUUUAUAAAAAAAUAAUUCACACAAUUGCACAAAAAAAGAAAAAAGGAUUGAAAAUCACUUCAGGGAGCAUCAUACCUGUGUCUCUGUGAGCACGAGAGAGGUGGCCACCUCAAAGCGUUUAGGUCUGGACAGGUAUUUGUUGAGUUUGAACUGGUUUUCCAGGUGUAGUAGCUGUUGACUGGUGAAGGCUGUUCUGGGCCUACGACACUUCCCCAUCAGACUGGCCUGAGAGGAGACUGGAGUGGAGACCAUGAGAGAGGGUCUUGCUCUUGUGUACGGGAGGAUGAUGGGGCUGAGAUAUAAACAUGUUCAUCUUUAAAAGCCGUCCUUUCUGAUGUCAGUUGUAUUGGACUUUGGUUUACAGUUGGCCUGAAGACACGGGGAUAUGGCUUUAGCAGGGCUAUAAAACUCAACAACAAAGUCCCGCUAUUGAAUGACCAUUAAAUUAAUGAAGAUUUCAAUAGCGGGACUUUGUUGAUGAAGUGGACGUAUUGUAUCAGGUGUUUGUUUAUUGUAUACUGUAAUAAUAAUAAUCUCACACUUUGGCUAUCGCCUAUGAAUUAAAAUGUUAUUUAUGACUAAAGGUAAAUCAUUACAGACAAAGAGAUAUGAUUAUGGUUCAGGAGUAAAUGAAAGAUGCAA